UAAAAUAGAUACUAUAUAUAAUGCAUGCUAGACUCAUGGAAUCACGUUCUAAACCUUUUGGAGUGACUUAAGGUCGUUGCACCUUCGAUUAACAUUAUGGACAUUAUACCAUCAAUAUGAGCUUCUAUAGGAUUCAAGGAUCAUACAUACUUGCUUAAAAUAACUUUAUAAGGAAAGAAUAACAUGAGCAACCUUAGUUUCUAGGAGUAGAUCCGUUAUGAAAUAGCGUAUUCAUUUCACUUUAGAUCAUGCCAAAAGAAAGAGGGAAGUACCUUAACAUACCUUAACCAUGGUGAGUCCUUAAUACCUCCCAAGCUACUCUUCAGACAACUCAACUCAAUCUACCAUUGCAUAAGGAGAUUCAAAUUAGUGUUGAAUAAAGGCUAAGUCUGCAAUUUAAACUUGUAGCUCGUUUAUAUAAAUUCGGGCAGCAUCUCCCCUGUAACAAGAGCCUCCUCCAAUAUCAUAUACCAACAACAAUUACCAGAGAAAUCCAGCAAUACAUAAUUAUUAUAAAAAGACACCAUAAAACAACAACAAGUCAUAACUAUUUUACGACGAGCGAUAAGCUCCAAUUGGAAUUCGUAUACCCCAUAUCAUCCCUUAUAGACUUUUUACUUUAACUUAAUAGUAUCAUUAACAUGAUAAUGAAGUCAUUCAUUAAUAAUUCCAGCCUUAUACCAUAUAUCCAUAACAAAGAAAAUGAUCCACAACUCCAAUUAUUCUUAAUUAGCAACUUUAUUCACUAGUUCAUGUCUAGUUCAUCCAUUUAACUUAACCGAUGUCAAUAUAACCUUAAGCACCUGUAGGAACACAAUAUAAUUACCUCCUACAGUAGAUGCAAGUCGAAAUCCAUGUUAUAUUUAGCUUACAAUAUCCCAAUACACCCAAUCAAUUCAUACCCAAAACAACGACUAUAGUAGUGUCAAACACCCUAAAUAUAUUACAAAGAAUGACUAAUCCAUCAUUUCGCCAUUAAGUGGUGUUUCUCCACACAAUUUAUCCUCCAAAAACUCCAUUAAAUAUCAGAAAAUUAUACAGCCUAAAAGCUACACGAAACAAUCCACAAAAUAGUCCAUUACAAAUCAAAUAACUCGAACUUACGGCUUUCGAUCGCCGUUCCGUGAGUUCUAACUAUUAUAAAAUGAAUUAAUCAACCUUACUUGAUAUUUAAGAUCUUAAAACCAGAAAUUAGGUAUUUUUAUUAACUUCAAAAUACCUUCCAAAACUCAAACUACAAAGAAAAAGAGAGGCAAUAUAACAAUACUUACGCUGUCGGGAUCGUUCUAGUGUUAUUGCUUCUUGAUUUUGUUCCCGGGAUGAUGGUAUUGUUUGAAACUCAUGUAGAGAGCUUAAGGGUGAUGUUAGGGGGUCUUAUUUAGUUGUG
rnacentral:lncRNA from 1 species